GGACAGCCAGACAGCGAAGAUGACGAAUCAGAUAUUGGUGGUGAAAUUUGCAAAGUGGCAGAAACAUGGUGGCAGGAACAACAGAGGAGGCAGAAAUAUGGAAAGUAGAUAAAAAUCCAGGUCAGCAAAUCUGGUAAAAAUAUGUUUGGAAAAUGCUGUGUAAGGUGUUGGUUUUUCUGGCGUCGACAGACGAAACAGACCGGUUUACAUCGUUGUCUUCCAUGAUGCAAUCAUCAAUCUCGUGUUUUCCGGAAACGCAAAGCUGAUUUUAGGGGAUAAAACUAAUACCGAUAAACCGUAUUUUCCCGGAAAGAGGAAGAGGAAAAGAGUUGGGUGGUAGACGGAGAGAAUAAGGAGGAUGUUGAAGAGUGGUGAAGACUUUUCUAGAUUCAUUUUCAGUAGAUGAUCCAUAGAGCCCCACUUUGGGUGCUGGAUACCUGACCCAGGGAAUUUCAUAAUAGAUGUUCCCAGCCAAUGUGAAAUAUGUUCAGUAGUAAAGACGAUAUUUAAGAUUUAAAGUUUUUUUUCACGAGAUGAUCAAGGUCGUACCCAUGUCAUUGAGCCUAAACCCUUAAUUCUAUCACAGAGGCCUCUCUAAACAUUGGUCCCCUGUACUCGCGUUUUAUAUGACAAUCAGUUAUUUUGAUGUUUUGUUGGGGUGUCCUUGCUUGUCAUGACUGCGCAUGCACAAUUGUUUGUCUGCUAGAUAACGUAAGUAAAAAAAAAAUUAAAUCUGUAUAGAUGUUUUGAUCUAACUCCUUAGGUACCAUAAAUAUUUCUUUUACCCUGACCUAGUUCAAUCAUUAACUAUAGUAACUAGAGUUGAUCCAAAGUACAAUCGAACUGCAUUUGGUCGAAACCGUAAAGGGUGUCAAUGAGCAUGUCUGGUCUACCACACACACACCAUCAUUGAACCGAAUAGCCGAUAACGCAUUUACCCGUGUGAUACAGCAACCUAUGAGUGCAGAGUGGUUGAACUUUAGAAACCACAUAUGCGCAUUGAAGGUCCGGAAGCAAGCUAGAGAUGCGCAAUGAAGUUUCGGAAGUCCUAUUACUAUAUGGUUGAUAAUAGAAUUCAUUCUCUACCCAGAGUUCCGUGCGCUACAAGCACUACAAACGGAGCUUGCGUAACGCGCCUUCUGUUGAGAGAAUGGAUCGAGCUACAUGUAGGUCCCUAUAGAUGCAAAACUCGAAUUUGUAGUUUUAAAAAAUCGGGGGGGGGGGGGACGAAUUAUAGUAGGGUACCUGAGGAAAUGAACUCACGGGACCGGAAAAUUAUUAUUAUACAUUUAUACAGCGAUUUAUCUAAUUAAGACAAUCACUUUAAAGCGCUUUACACGGAACACAAUAAAAACAACCUAAAACAAAGAAUAAUAGAUACAUAUAAAAGGGCAUAAAAUAAUACUAAAACUGAGGUGGUUUUUUUAAGUAAAUGAAAGUAUGUCACUUAAUACCUGUACAAGAAAUACAGAUGUAUUUAUUUCUGUAGAUAUAACAAUGUGGGACUAAUAGAAUCCUUCAUUAGUACGAGUGUGGGAUAGGGAAAUUCCACCGAGGGGACAAGAUUCGCAGUCUUGGACGAGGCUUUGCCGAGUCCUAGACAGCGAAUCUUGUUCCAGAGGUGGAAUUUCCCUACCCCACACGAGUUAAUAAUGAAGGAUUAUUUUUCUCACAUUUUACCUACAGUUUAGUGCAUAAAUUUAGGAGCUUUGAGAAAAUUCUUAAUUAUCAAAAUCCUCAUUUGAACUUCGAUGCAAAAACUAAUUAGAUAGGCAGAAAGAGCGUACCCGAAAAUGGUUUACACUGUAAGUGUAAACUAAAAAACCCAAGGUUGUCCAACAGAAAGCUAUAUACAUUAAAAUUUAAAGAUAACAAUGAAAAAUAUUUUUGCUUCACCGUGUAACGUAAAUCUUCACUGUGUAACGUAAAUCAUAGAAAAUAUAUGACGUCACAAUCAAAUGACGUCGCAGCAGUGUGAGACAGAAAAAUCUCACAUGGCUGUCUCACAUGGGUAAAGUCAAUCUCACACUGGUGAUAGUGUGAGAAAGAAAAAUCUAUGCUGUCUCAUUAUUUUCCAUGAAAAAAAUAUUGAUAUACAAUCACAACCUCACCUACUUUAUCAUUGUAUACAUGACCAUUUUGUAGUCGUAAGUGAUCGAAAUACAAUCUACCCUGCAGUCCUGCUGAGAAAUAUACAUCAAGUUAUCAUUUUACUACACAAUGAUGACCAAAAAAUAUAUAAAAGUCCAUUCCAAUGUUAUUAUAUGAAAAGCUUGUCCCAUGUAAACCGAUCCAAAUAGCAUGGUUUUUAAAAAACUUCUUUUCUUAGCUUUUCGUACCCUUCUGAAAUUCGUCGAGGCUGAUUAAUUUCUCAAUACAGUUCUUUGUCUGAUGUACAUGUAUAAUUUUGUAACUACAGGUGUACCUAAUCACCGCUGUGAGAUAUAAAGCCUCGAUUUAUUUAUUCUCUAAAUUAAUUUGAAGAAGAAAAAUGCAGUAAUAGGUCAUUUUCGUUUCAGAAAGAAACGGUCACAACUUUUCUUUGAUGUGGCGUGAACUCUGAAGAAAUUGAUGUUGUGAACUUUAAGUAAAAUGUCGUAAAAUAGUUCUUCACUGGAAAGGAUCGCCUGCAUGGCAUUAUCAAAUAAAGUAAUGUAGUACACUUA